UAGAAAAAUAAACUUUUGUGC
rnacentral:piRNA from 1 species